rnacentral:rRNA from 1 species
AGAGUUUGAUCCUGGCUCAGAAUGAACGCUGGCGGCAGGCUUAACACAUGCAAGUCGAACGAGAACGCACCUUCGGGUGUUAUUAAAGUGGCAAACGGGUGAGUAACAUGUGGGAACGUACCUCAAGGUUCGGGACAACUACUGGAAACGGCUGCUAAUACCGGAUGUGCACUACGGUGAAAAGAUUUAUCGCCUUGAGAUCGGCCCGCACAAGAUUAGCUAGUUGGUAAGGUAAUGGCUUACCAAGGCUACGAUCUUUAGCUGGUUUGAGAGGAUGACCAGCCACACUGGGACUGAGAUACGGCCCAGACUCCUACGGGAGGCAGCAGUGGGGAAUAUUGGACAAUGGAGGAAACUCUGAUCCAGCGAUGCCGCGUGAAUGAUGAAGGCUUUAGGGUUGUAAAGUUCUUUCAGCAGGGAAGAUAAUGACGGUACCUGCAGAAGAAGCCCCGGCUAACUCCGUGCCAGCAGCCGCGGUAAUACGGAGGGGGCUAGCGUUACUCGGAAUUACUGGGCGUAAAGCGUACGUAGGCGGAUUGAUAAGUCAGAGGUGAAAUCCCAGGGCUCAACCCCGGAACUGCCUUUGGAACUGGCAAACUAGAAUCUGUUAGGGGAUAGUGGAAUUCCUAGUGUAGAGGUGAAAUUCGUAGAUAUUAGGAGGAACACCAGUGGCGAAGGCGACUAUCUGGGGCAGUAUUGACGCUAAGGUGCGAAGCGUGGGGAGCGAACAGAUAGAUACCUGGUAGUCCAGCCGUAACGAUGAGUGCUAGUUUUGGACAUUCGUGACCACUAACCGUUAGCCUCCCCUGGGACUCGCGCAGCUAACUCAAGAUUGCGGGACCCCAACGGUGACUGGGUUAUUCGAUGCAACGCGAAGAACCUUACCACCCUUUGACAUCCUGAUCGCGGAGGACAGAGAUGACCUCCUUCAGUUCGGCUGGAUCAGUGACAGUUUUGCAUGGCGUCGUCAGCUCGUGUCUGAGAUGUGGUUAAGUCCGCACGAGCGCACCCUCAUCCUUAGUACCAGCGGGUCAAGCCGGGGACUCUAAGGAAACUGCUCGUGAUAAGCGAGAGGAAGGUGGGGACGACGUCAAGUCAUCAUGGCCCUUAUAUGGUGGGCUACACACGUGCUACAAUGGCAGUGACAAUGGGAAGCUACACGGCGACGUGAUGCCAACCUCAAAAAACUGCCUCAGUUCGGAUUGGAGUCUGCAACUCGACUCCAUGAAGUCGGAAUCGCUAGUAAUCGCGGAUCAGCAUGCCGCGGUGAAUACGUUCCCGGGUCUUGUACACACUGCCCGUCACGCCAUGGGAGUUGAUUUUACCUGAAGCCGGUGGGCUAACCGCAAGGAAGCAGCCAGCCACGGUAAGGUCAGCGACUGGGGUGAAGUCGUAACAAGGUAGCCGUA